UGCUAUAUAUCUUUGAGGAAAAGUUAUCCCUCUUGAUCUAUAUAUUUCCAUCCAACCCUUACAUACUUCACAUAUAUAUGAUCUAGCUUCUCGAUAUUUUGCUUUAAGAUGGCUUAUUUUAAAAAAUAUUUUAUUAUCUUGAAUUUGAUCAUUUUGCUGUUCGUAUUUCUCUUUUCAAUGAAAUCGGCAACAGCAAGAGUAACCCUCUGGAUAUUUGACCCUCGUCACAUAGCAGAUGGACACCUCCUAUUUGCUACUGAAGAUGCACCACAAGGCCACAACUUUCAUCAUCAUUGACAGAGUACUCAUAUUUAAAAGCCUAGGAGAAAACUCCAUCCUCAUUUUAUUAUUAUUAUUAUUAUGAUCUUUUUAGCUGUAACAUAGAAUAUUGCUAUUUUCAAUGUAAUUUGUUUUCUAUGAAUAAAACUAGCUUGUUACUAUCUAUGAAUA